GCAAACAGUUGACAUAGAAUUCACAACAAUAACAAAUUAAAAAUGCAUCAUCCUGUAAUUAAAAGAAGGUAUAUUGAUGCAUCCUUUGCGUGAAUCAGACACGUAGAAUCAUGUUUCUCUCAUGACAAAGAGCACUUAUAGUAGCAUAUCUAGAAUUUCUCUCAGUUUUAACUUUCUUCGGUCUCGGUUUUUCCCUUGACAAAGCUGAUAAUAUAUCAUGUACAAUCAGGCAACACAUUUAUUUAGCCAACAUUCUAGUUCAAAAGCAACUUUUUGCUAAAUCAAGACUGUGAUGGUGUAAAAAUAUUGCAGUCAAUAUUUUUGUACUAAAAAAAUUGAAAGCUUUAGUUGAUACGUCCACGGAUUGAGUCCUCGCGAGCUUGGUUCUAUGUGUUAAUUAUUAUCAUUAUCAUUAUUUUUUUUGGCAAACUUCAAGGGAGUAACUUCUUCACCUCAUUUACAAGCUCCACUAAAAAUUAACUCAGCAAUGAUUUUACAAUGCUCGAGAGUAAAAUGUUAAAUUCGUAUUAAAUCUACUUGAAAUUUCUU
rnacentral:lncRNA from 1 species